AAAGUUCCGGCGGUAUAUGAUUGGUGUGCGUUUGAUUAGCUAGUUGGUAGGGUAACGGCCUACCAAGGCGACGAUCAAUAGCUGGCGUGAGAGCGCGACCAGCCACACUGGAACUGAGACACGGUCCAGACUCCUACGGGAGGCAGCAGUAGGGAAUAUUUGGACAAUGGGCGAAAGCCUGAUCCAGCCAUGCCGCGUGAUAGAUGAAGGCCCUCUGGGUUGUAAAUAUCUUUAUCUGGGAAGAAACUCCUCUAUUCUUUAGAGGCCUGACGGUACCAGAGGAAUAAGCACCGGCUAACUCCGUG
rnacentral:rRNA from 1 species